AAAAUUUAAUUAAAUCUCCAAAAUAACAACAUGCGACCUACAGAAUCAGCAUUAAUCGACAAUCUCUUUGCUCCAGGGUAAAGGCCUGUCACAAUAAUGUCAUGGAGAGAGCCCACCACCAUUUUUUGGAUAUUUGAAUGUACCAAUGUAAGAGACCCAGAAGGCUGACAUACUAUCUCUGGCAGGCUGAGAAGGGGAGAUGUUGCCUAAUUUAAUGGACAACUCUUAGGCUAAGAAACAUGUUUUUCUGAAAAUAUCAACAAAAGGUGGUUGUUCUCUUUUUAGGUCGAACAGUGCUUAAAGCGUUUAAAUCAGAUGAGCUUGAUGGGCUCCAUUCAAGACCUGGCAGAAUUGUGUCCCAAGAAAAAGAAAUCUGAAAAUGCAGGGGAGCGUGUUGUUCCCAGCCAGCCUGUGCUAGAAGUGGUGGCAGUGAAGAUCUUGGGAGGCUGCAAGCUCUUGCUGCGCUUACUGGAGUGUUGCUGCAAAGCAUUUGAACUGUCUGUUAAGCAUCUGUGUUUGGAAGAAUACAUCCUCUUGAACACUGUGGUUUUGGGAUUGUUGAGCAGAUUAUGGUUUGUACAUUUUGAAAACUAAUCUUUACUGUUUUUGUCUGUCUUUUCCUUGGGUACUUUCACCAGCAAAUAGGUUUGAGUACAGACAUGCUUUCUGGUUAAGUGAGCUGGCUGCGACCAGAAUAGGGUAGUGUAGCACUAGUUGAUGCCACUUUUGUGUCCUCUUGACCUGCCAAACACGCUGUCUUCUCUUAUUGGCUAUCUUGUCACACGUUGUAGUGGAUGUGAAGUGUGCAUACUUGACACUCAGCAAUUUUCUCUAACAUCAACUACACUCUCAGGCAGGGUAGCUAGAAUUAUUAUUAUUUAUUAAUACUAGAUGGUAUUACCUUGACACUCAUUUAAUCAUAAAUUGCUUUAUUAAAUCCAAAGGCCAUAUGAUAUUUAUACAGCUGCUCCAAACAUGUCUUAACUGCCUAAGCAAUAACCACACCCAUAUAGUAACAUGCAAUUAUAAGUAUGGAUCAGAUAUUUACAACAGCACCGGUUCCAGUUGGACAGGGUAGGUUGAACCCUCAACCUGCUAUGUCUUUGUUUUUAGACCCUACCUGACUGAAUUCGUUUAAAUCCAUUUGAGCCACUCUUAGUAGCUAGAAUGUCUACGAGGAAUUUUGCUCGCAUCUUAUCAGUUAUCUUCCAGGUCCAAUUUCUCCAAUUACCCCUAUUGUUUCAAGGCUUUCUGACAACUAACGGGACCUGCACUUUAGAUAAACUGAAAAGCAUGCUUUUUUUUUUUUAGCCAAGUUCAUUUCACUGUAUCAUAUAUAUAUAUAGUAGCCCAAUGUCUGUGACUCUGUAACACUGUAGCGUUUGGUGUUGCCUCUGGGGGGGCAGGGUGGUAAUGUGCGGCAU